GGAAUGUUUAGAAAGGUUAUGACCUAGAAAGAGUGCCUAACAACACAAAAGGGGUGACAUUGAGGCCACCCAACCAGUUGAUCAGCAAUUGCCAUAUUAAGGCUGUAAAUAUGGUCUGAGAUUCAUAUUGAACAUAUGUGCGUUCUCCUGUCGUACUGGCAUUACUGAUCGUGAGGUGAUAGAGAGAGAAGACGCUAUACUUUUGGACCUGUAUACCUGGUUUACCAUCACCUUGUGCCCCUUUGGGAGUACAAUUUCAAGUGGACUUCAUUUAUUUAUUUCAAGAAGUUCAGGUGGUGGAGAUAUGGCCAAAAUCAAGAUGAGAUGGAGAGCUACAUUGCUAUGUCUAACAGGGAAUCAUUACAGUUUGACAACACAAUUUCAAGACCUCCACAGAAUGCAUUCUGCUUGGGCAGCCUAUAACACACCCCCAACAAAAUCGGCUUGGUUUUGGGAAGGCAGAUAUUCAGCCAGACAAUCUCCAGAUCAGUGCUCCAGAUGACAAAACCUGCAAACAGUUUCUGGUCUGCCGACAUCCUUCUGGUCACACAUUGUAUUCAGAGAAAUAUCCAAUAAACCAAAGACAUUGCUUUAACUGUGAAUGUACGUUAUUGCAGAUAUUUUCCUCAAAUAAAAUGGAG
rnacentral:lncRNA from 1 species